rnacentral:tRNA from 1 species
GUCUACGUAGCUUAAACUGACUCAAAGCAAGACACUGAAAAUGCCUAGACGGACUCACAUGUCCCAUAGACA